AUGGCAACGCUCGUCGCCAGUGCUGUAGCUGCUACUGCUGCUUCUGGGGUGGACUACCUAUGGAUGCUCAUCCUGGGCUUCAUUAUUGCAUUCGUCUUGGCAUUUUCCGUGGGAGCCAAUGAUGUAGCAAAUUCGUUUGGUACAGCUGUGGGCUCAGGUGUCGUGACCCUGAAGCAAGCCUGCAUCCUUGCUAGCAUCUUUGAAACAGUGGGCUCGGUCUUACUGGGGGCCAAAGUGAGUGAAACAAUCCGGAAGGGCUUGAUUGACGUAGAGAUGUACAACUGCACCCAGGCGCUGCUGAUGGCCGGCUCCGUCAGUGCUAUGUUUGGUUCUGCUGUGUGGCAACUAGUGGCUUCGUUUUUGAAGCUCCCCAUUUCUGGGACCCAUUGUAUCGUUGGUGCAACCAUUGGUUUCUCCCUCGUGGCACAUGGGCAGAAGGGUGUCAAGUGGUCUGAACUGAUCAAAAUUGUGCUGUCUUGGUUCGUCUCUCCACUGCUUUCUGGUAUCAUGUCUGGAAUUUUAUUCUUCCUUGUUCGUGCAUUCAUCCUCCGUAAGGCAAAUCCUGUCCCUAAUGGUUUGCGAGCUUUGCCAGUUUUCUAUGCCUGCACAGUUGGAAUAAACCUCUUUUCCAUCAUGUAUACUGGAGCACCGUUGCUGGGCUUUGACAAACUUCCUCUGUGGGGUACCAUCCUCAUCUCGGUGGGCUGUGCAGUUUUCUGUGCCCUUAUCGUCUGGUUCUUUGUAUGUCCCAGGAUGAAGAGAAAAAUCGAACGAGAAAUAAAGUGUAGUCCUUCUGAAAGCCCCUUAAUGGACAAAAAGAAUAGCUUGAAAGAAGACCAUGAAGAAACAAAGUUGUCUCUUGGUGAUGGUGAAAGCAGGAAUCCUGUUUCUGAGGUAGGGCCCACCACUGUGCCCCUCCGAGCUGUGGUGGAGGAGAGAACAGUCUCCUUCAAACUUGGAGAUUUGGAGGAAGCUCCAGAGCGAGAGAGGCUUCCCAGUGUGGACCUGAAAGAAGAAACCAGCAUAGAUGGCACCAUCGACAGUGCAGUGCAGUUGCCCAGUGGGAACCUUGUUCAGUUCAGUCAAGCCGUCAGCAACCAGAUAAACUCCAGUGGCCACUAUCAGUAUCACACCGUGCAUAAAGAUUCUGGCUUGUACAAAGAGCUGCUCCAUAAAUUACAUCUAGCCAAGGUGGGAGACUGCAUGGGAGACUCUGGUGACAAACCCUUGAGGCGAAAUAAUAGCUAUACUUCCUAUACCAUGGCAAUAUGUGGCAUGCCUCUGGAUUCAUUCCGUGCCAAAGAAGGUGAACAGAAGGGUGAAGAAAUGGAGAAGCUGACGUGGCCUAAUGCAGACACCAAGAAGCGAAUUCGAAUGGACAGUUACACCAGUUACUGCAAUGCUGUGUCAGACCUUCAUUCGGCAUCUGAGCUGGACAUCAGUGUCAAGGCAGAGAUGGGUCUGGGCAACAGAAAAGGAAGUAGUGGCUCUCUAGAAGAAUGGUAUGACCAGGAUAAGCCUGAAGUCUCUCUCCUCUUCCAGUUCUUGCAGAUCCUUACAGCCUGCUUCGGGUCAUUUGCCCAUGGUGGCAAUGACGUCAGCAAUGCCAUUGGUCCUCUGGUUGCUUUGUAUCUGGUUUAUGACACAGGAGAUGUUUCUUCAAAAGUGGCAACACCAAUAUGGCUUCUACUCUAUGGUGGUGUUGGUAUCUGUAUUGGUCUGUGGGUUUGGGGAAGGAGAGUUAUCCAGACAAUGGGAAAGGAUCUGACACCAAUCACACCCUCUAGUGGCUUCAGUAUUGAACUGGCAUCUGCUCUCACUGUGGUAAUUGCAUCAAAUAUCGGCCUUCCCAUUAGUACAACACAUUGCAAAGUGGGAUCUGUUGUAUCCGUUGGCUGGCUCCGAUCCAAGAAGGCUGUUGAUUGGCGACUCUUUCGCAACAUUUUUAUGGCCUGGUUUGUCACAGUCCCCAUUUCUGGUGUUAUCAGUGCUGCUGUCAUGGCAGUCUUCAAAUAUGUCAUCAUCAGCGUGUGAAGCUGAGUGAGAUUAAAGUUCGUGUCAAUGUUUGGGACCACCUUACAUAUUCCUGCUCCCUUGAAGAAUGAUUACAGUGUUAUCGAAGACUGACAAUAGUCUUUUUAAAGUUUGGGAGCUGGGGGAGGGAAGUGUUACUUGUGCUAUAAUCGCUUUUGUGCUAAAUAUGACUUGUCUCAAAAUUAGCUGUGUAAAAUAGCCAGGUUUCCACUCGUUCCUAAAGAGAUCCCUUUCCUUCUGGGCUGUGAAUUCCUGUACAUAUUUCUCUACUUUUUGUAUGAGGCUUCAAUUCCAUUAUGUUUUAAUGUUGUCUCUGAAAAUAGCUUGUGUGUUUUUUGUUUUUGUGUUUGCUUUUUUUUUUUUUUUAAUACAACCAUGCAGAGUCAUUUGAUAGCGUGCUCUGCUUUGUUGAUUUCACCAGCUUCUGCCCUAACACGCACAGGGAUUUAACAACAAAAAAUGUAACUGAAACUUUCCUUGUAGUCUCUUGUAGAAAUAGAGUCAUUGAAUUAUGCCCUCCUGUCAGUAGUGGCAAGUUCUGUUGGCAUGUAUGGGAAAUUCUUAGAGGGAUGAAGUUCUUUGGACACAGUGAAAAUUUAAGUUAGUAGUAACUUCUUUACAGGCAAUUCAUUAACUGUUGCUAAGAAGAAGUAGGAAAAAAAAGACUUGGCAAUCUUGAUCAUUUAAGACUUCUGGCAGUGUGGGAUGGAUGAAUGAAGUGGAAUAUGAGUUUUGGGCAAAUUAAAUGGGAUAGCCUUCCAUGUUCAUCUGUCUACCUCUUAAUUAAAUAAAAAAGCCUACAGUUUUUAGAAAA